UAAGUGGGCACAUGGGAGCACCCUCAGCUCCCUCUCCAUGGGAUACCCUGUGGGGCACUUCAGAGUCCCCACCAGCAAGAAGGCUCUCUCUCACCAGAUGUGCCCCCCGCCAACCUUGGAUGUCUCAGUCUCCAGAACUCUUCCAUAUCUUCCUGAGGCAUUGCAGCCUAAAUUGGAACUCUGGAGCAGGAAGCUUGCAGAUGAGCCAGCUCCCUUGUGAAGCUGUAAGAACAUGGUACUUACAGGAGUAAGGCUCAUGAAGUGGAGAGAUGAGAAGACUUUCGGGACAGAUUGUGUGGAGGCUGUCAUUCUCCUCGUGACAUUGCUGUGGGAGAAGAAGGAGGCAUUCCAUGUUGGCUUCAGUGAAGAACUUCAGGUGCUGUUAAUUUUCUUGUGGAGAAGGAACUGUCUUUAGAAAAAUAUCUCAAAAAGCCACUGAAGUAGAAAGUUUCAGCAUGCUGAAGAUGGAACUUGAGAAGAUAGAAAGUUCUGGGUCCUUAGUGGCAUGACUGAGUCGCUGGACCACUGUUGGAACCACCCUAUGUCUUAGUUUUUAAAUCUCUUUACUGUCUAAGACAUUUUUAGUGGAAGUAUUUAUCUCUGGCAUCCAAUAAGACCUUUAAGGAUUUGCAGUUUUAUCUAUGUGUUUGUUUAUUGUCUGCUCCACCCUACUUGAUUGUGAUCACCAUGACAUCAAUGACUGUGCAUCUUUUGUUCACUCAGGAAUAUCCAGUGCCUGCCACGCAGAGUGUGCUGCAUGUACAUGCUCACUUGAUAUCUGUUGUAGCAAAGAGUGAAAGAGAGAAGGAAUAAAUGCUUUCUCCCAUGAUGAGGGGACAUGGGGUCCAGACAAGCUGGACCAUUAUCCCAGGCCCAGCGCUCUGCUUUAUUUUUUUUUUUCCAGUACAGCAUCACAUUCAGUUACAACAGAGUGAAAUCUCCUAAGAACACGGCUGAUUAUUUCUUGAUUGCAAAAAGGACUCACUAACCCUCCGAUCUCCUGUAACGCAAGUCAAUGCUCUUCUAAUCUCCUUUUAGACAGCACCUGUACUUGUCAGUCAACGCAUGGUAGUCUGGGCUAGCCAAGUGAAUCCUUAACUAAACUGAAGUGGUGCUGAUCAUUCAGCCUUCAGAAUUGAAAAAAUCACAGCAUUGCUGAAGGAAAAGGCAUUUUUCAGGUAGAGAGGCAUAAGUCUUGGGCCAGGAAGCUUCAGUAAGAAGACAAUAAUUUCAUAGAAAUGCAUUAGCUUGGGGAGUCCAACUGCUGUUCUUGCACCUAAGAAAUUCAGAGGAGAGCUCUUUGCUUCCUUGCUCAUUCCAGUGGUUAGGAGUCAGGCCUUGUCCCAGAAUGUUCAGGUUGAUGCUUACCAUUUAAGCCUUAAGUUAAUCCGUUGAAGCUCCAGGCCUUUUAUGGGAUUCACAAGAAUAAACAGCAUUUAACUAUAGAUUCUCAAAGGUCAAAUCUUCAACCUAAAUCUGAGGAUUCAAAGCAUUGUUCACUCUAAUAAUUCUGCUAGUUCCCAACUUCACACAAACCAUUUAUUUCAGAAUGUAAACCUUGAAUAAUCUUUUCUUACUUGUAGUUUUGUGGUCAUUUAGAAAACAGCAAUACUCUAUUUUAAUUGGAACUAAGUGACAAAAAUAAGCCACUUCAUUAGUUUUCUAGAUAACGGUAAAAUGUAAGAACAAAAAGCCACUUCUUUUUCCACGUGGUAUUUUACAGUGACUUUUUUUUUUCUUUUUACUGCAUUUUAAAAUUCUACUGGAGGCAUUUCUCGGAAACUUUCUCUUACUUGUUAAUGAAUCAUCCCCUUUGAGAAUCAGCAGGUGAUUUCAGGAGCCCAGGUGUGAAUAAUUGAUUUAAGGUCGACCUUGUGGGUGGAGCCAAUGUUUACCAAGUGCAUUCAUUCGACAAACAAUUGAUGAACACCAAAUUAGAGUUCAAUUCCAGAUAACAAAAACCAGUUGAACUAAUUUCAUCAGAAAGCUACUUAAUAGGGGUAAUUAGGUGCUUACAAAAUAGAAGGGCUGGAAGCCCAGGAUCUAGGCUGACACCCAUGUAGCUAGACCCUGGAAACUGGGAUUCCAGCUGCACAGAACAGCCAAGUGUGUUCAUGACUGUGCUUGUUUGUCAGCAGGAGCAUGGCCCUGCCUUGUGAUACUGUGUUUUUCAGCUCUCACGUGGCUGAGUCUGUUUGGAGAAGUUGGUUCAAGAUGCAGCUUGACUCUCAGGGAGUCUGAAUAACUACCCUUAAUAUUGUUAGCUUUCUGGUCUCCAGCACACAGUAUGAUUUUCUGGAAGAAGGAUUUAAUGUAGUUAAAUAUGCCAACGUGUAAUAUCUGAUGUACAUUUCUACCCUGCUUGGGAUACAAAAUAAAUAAAAGCCAGUUUCUGUCUGUAAGGAGUGUACAGUUUAGUAAGAAGACAGACUCCUGAACAAAGAUGUAUACUUCAAUGUUGCCAGCCCAGGAUUAGAGAUGGGUAUUAAGAGGACCUCUGAUGAGUGAUAUUUUGCAUCUGGUGCAGGACAGUUCCCUAGGUGGCCUUGGACCAAACCAGUCCUCCCGCUUUCUCACUUGUAGUUUUAAGAAUAACUAGAAUGUGCUGGGAAUGCAACAUCCCGAGAUAAGGCCUAGGCUCUGUUCCAGUCCCCGCUAGAAACAGGAUGUCCUUCAGCACAUUAAUCCAGCAGGUCAUGUUAUCCCUGGAGUAGAAAACCCAGAGACGGCUACUUUCCAGGGUCCUGCAUCUGGGGUGCAAGUGAGGCACACGCAGAUGAGACUCCACCUGCCCUGGGCAGCUUUCCUGAGCCUUGAGAAACCAGCUCACCAUGAAUCCAAGGUGUCUGCUGUUCCUUGCCACCAUUUCAUGGAACCUGUUGUAUGUAACGCAAAAGAUUCUUCAAAAUCAAACUGUGUCCGGAAUUGGUGGGUUCUUGGUCUCACUGACUUCAAGAAUGAAGCCACGGACCCUGGCGGUGAGUGUUACAGCUCUUAAGGUGGCGUUUCUGGAGUCUGUCCCUUCUGAUGUUCAGAUGUGUUCGGAGUUUCUUCCUUCUGGUGGGUUCGUGGUCUCGCUGGCUCAGGAGUGAAGCUGCAGAUCUUCACGGUUGCUAGUAACACAAUAAUAAAGCUGCUUUAUUUUCCAGUGAAGAUGUAUGUGAUAGGGAGUGGAGGAAGAAAAAGGCCAGAAAAUUCCAUAGUUAGCAAAUAUACCUUUCUUACUUAAAAUUCUUUUUCCAAUGUGAGCCUUCUAAAGAGUUACUGAGAAAUUAGGUGAGCUCACCUCAUUUAAUGCAAUAGAUAUGUUUCUGAAAAAUAAGCAAUACAUAGGACAUUGGCCAAUUAAGAAUUCUGAUGAAGAAGAAUUUUCACAUCCGAAAGAGUAAAAAUGAAAAACGGUACAAAUGUAGUGGCUUUUAAAUUUCAAAACAAAUUAUUUUGAUAAGAUAAAUAUUCCUCUCAUAAAGUGAAAAUGGAAGAGACUGCUUGCUGGGUGUUCGUCAAAAUGGAGUUAGAUGGUCUGUCCCAGACUCCCCUGUUGUUAGUUCUGAGAACAGAAGUAAUGGUGCUUCUUCAGGACUGGCUCAUAGAAACCUGCCGUGUUCAGCCCCCACAAUCCUCUCCCUUCUGCUGGCUGGAAACAAAUGACAACGAAGCCUCACGUCUUGGAGAAACCACACUGCUGAGGAACUCAAGUCCUAGAAGAACCAUUUGAAGAGACCCAUCUCACUAAAGAAAAUCACACAAGCAAGAAGUAAACUUCAUUGUAUCUAUGUAUUUAAUUGUCAUAACAGUCUACCUUAACUGAUACAGCAAAAAUUCGCUCCUUUUCUGGACACCCAGUUUCAAAAUCUCAGUGUCAUUUUUUACUUCUCUCUUUUCAGGUUGUUUAAUAUAAUAAAAUUUGUGUGUGUGUGUGUGUGUGUGUGACAAGGUCUUGCUCUGUUGCCCAGGCUGGAGUGCAAUGGCACGCUCCCAGCCCACUACAGCCUUGACCUCCAAGCUCAAGUGUUCCUCCCACCUCAGCCUCCAGAGUAACUGGGACUACAGGCAUGGGCCACCACACCCGGCUAAUUUUUGUACUUUUUGUAGAGACAGGGUUUCACCAUGUUGCCCAGGCUGGUCUUGAACCCCUGGGCUCAAGCGAUCUGCCCAUCUCCACCUCCCAAAAUUCUAGGAUUACAGGCGUGAGCCACUACACCCAACCAUUUUAUUUUUAAAAGUUUUCUUUGCAAUAUUGCUCACAUUGUUUCCUUCCUUUUUAUUCUUAUUGUCACUCCCAAGUUCAGGCUUUUACCUCUUUUAUUUGAAGUAUUAAAGUAUACUUCUAAGUCAUUUCUGUGGCUUAAAUUUAUUUAAUCCACUCCAUCCUGCAUCCUACCAACACAAUAACAUUGUUUCAUCAUUUCAAAUUGAAAUCGAAACUCUCCAAAGCUUUCCUACUGCUGAAUGGAUAAAAACACAAAAUCCUCAAUAGAGAAUUCACUUUCUGGAGCCAACUUACCUUUCCAAAUAUUUCCCAUUAUUCCCUAAGAGAAUCCUCCUGACAUACUCACUGUUUUUCAUAUACACUAGACCUUUUCUCAACCACCUAUUUGUCCACACAUUUUUCUUCCAGCUAGAAUAUUAUUUUCCCUUUCUCACUUCUGAAAGUCUUACCUGUCAUUCAUGGUUCAUCUCAAGCUCAAUCUUCUCCUUGAAACCUUUAAGCAUACCCUCCUGGAAAGUUAUCUCCCUCACCUCGAACCACCCCCCCAGCCCCUGCCAGAAUCUCCUAUAGGGCUGAUUGUUUAUCCUGCUUAUUAUAUAUUUAUAAAACACUCCACUGAGUUAUUAAUUACCUUUUCCUUGACUGUGAAAACAUGACUCUGGCUUCAAGGUAGGACCAUUUUUUCUCUAACACUGUGUCUCAUACACUUCAGCACAAGCUCUUAGUGGCCUGUGCAUUCAACUCCCAUGCAUAGCCACUUCCUCCAGGCAAACCCCACAGCCAGCAUCCAAAUUUUAAAAGGGGUUCUGUCAUCAACCCAAAGUUUCUUCUCUCUCAAGGAACCUAGAUUUAGAAGUUGAGUCUAGGCCACCUGUCUAAGAUACAGUAGUUAAUUUAACAUAUUUUAUUGCUCUCAACAUCACAGAGAAAGAGCCUUACUGCAGAUCUCAUUCUUUCCUUCAAAGCCAGUUUGCCCAUUCCUCUUCAGAAACCUUUAAGAGUGGUUAUUGGGAGAGAUGAUAAGACUCCAUCUGCUUAAGGAGUCCCUCUAACCCAGAAUAGUAGAUGUAAACACCUGACAUGUUGUUAUAGAGUGAAUGUUUGUGUUCCCCUCCAAUCCAUAUGUUGAAAUUCCAAGCCCCAAUGUGUUCGCAUUGGGAGGUGAGGCCUUUGGGAGGUAAAUAGAUCAUGAAGGUGAAGUCUUCAUGAAUGGAUUAGUGUCCUUAUAAAAGAGACCCCAGAGAGCUCUCUCAUCCUGUUUCUGCCAUGUGAGGACACAGCAAGAAGUUGGUCAUCUGCAACCUGAAGUGGCUCCUCCCCAGAAACUGAAUCUGCUGGGGUCUUAAUGGUGGGCUUCCCAGCCUCCAGAAUUAUGAGUGUAAAUGUUUGUUGUUUAAGCUACCCAGUCUAGGGUAGUUUGCUAUACUACCCCAAACUGACUAAGAUACAUAUGUUUGUCAUCCACUCAGUUGUUUUCCUAAAAUAAAUGAAGUCAGCUCCAAAGAUGAAUUUUCAUCUCUUUUUGUAGAGAUGGGUGCUAUUAUGCUUUUUAAUGAACGUUUAUUCACAAAUAAAAACAAAACAUACCUCUCACAUCCUCAGAGCAAAUACUUACAGUAACAUACAUUGAUGCUCACAAGCUCAUUACAUUUCAUGUUUACUAUUCAUUGAUAACAUUACAUUUAUUAUUAUCACAUAAACCAUACCUCCUGUUUAUGAAGCACUUAUGGUGUUUUAGUCAAUGUUAUGGUACCUGCUAUAUAUGGUCUCUAAUUUUAUUUUAACUUCCUAUAGUAAACAAUAUUAGGUGCUAACUCAAUAGUCAUUUUCUAACCUGAUUUUUCCUUGCAAACAGAACCCCAAAUUUGUUUGGAGAGAAAUGUGUCCAAAUCCAAACAAAGCAUCACCAUUUCUUUGAACCAUCAUAAGGAUCUAAUCAUUUUUUUUGUUUUCCUAGCCUCCCUCUAGCCAGAGAUACUGGGUAACACAGUUCUGGCUGAGAAGACAAGAGAAGAAAUCUGCUAAGCAUUUCUGGAAAAAGUUUUGAUUUGCUGAUGAAAGGGAACAGACAUACUGGUUGCCUUCCUUUUCCCUUUCAGCUGCCUAGUCGCCAUUUUGCAAUGUGAAACAACAUCAUUAAGGAAAGAUCAAAACAAUUGCAGAGAUGUCAACCAUCAUGCCUUUGAAUUCAUGCUCACAGUUGUCUGCCUCCAGAUUCAGUUAUAUUUGAGGUACUCUUUGAGUUAAGAUCCUUCUCAUUUUAUACCACUUGCAGCUGAACACACUCCCCACUAAUUUACCUUGUAAGGUGAAUUUCACUUAAAGGAAGAACACAUAAGUCAGGGAAUGACACAUAAUAGUAAAUGCAGGGUUUUUUUUUCUAUUUAUGAUAUAGAUUUAUACAACUGCUAUGUUCUUGACAUUGUACCAAUUUCAAGGUACAAAUAAGACAUAAUCCCUAAAAGCAUGGGUUACAAAAUCUGGGUUCAGCAUAGGGUUUCAUGAUAAACAAACAAACACAAAUUGUUUUUUAUUGUAUUUCCUUCUUCUUCACAUCUUGUGAAUCUAAGAAAAAUAUCAGAAUGUUCGUUUCAGCUCAAUUUUUGAAGAGUACAAUCUCUAAGUAAAAAGAAACUGUAAAUGUUUAUAAAUGUAACUAGAGCCUAGUAGAAAAUAAAGCCAUGCAAGUGUGUUUAGGUCCUAAUCUUAUUAACCAGAUUAGUGACACACAGUCUGCCCAAAGUUAAUGAAAGCAGUGAGGUUCUUUGACUUCAGUAGAUACACACCUGAACCACAGAGAUAAACUUGCUUCAAACCUGUGCGAUAUGUUUUUCUAAGCAUAAAAUUGAGCAUGAUAGCUCCAAUUUCAGUCUCAGUUUCAAAGCUUCCCUUUCCCGAAUAAGAGGCAAACUGUCACAUUAAAUUUAGCGAAUUAAAAUCAGUUAACUUGAAAAGCUCUUGGCCCCAAUGCAGAGAAAAUUGUUUGCAUAAUAAUAACUUAUUUCCUUUUUUAAAAGGCGGACUUCUGCCUGAAUGCUUCUAUAAACUUUUAAGAAAAUGGGAUUCUCAAAUCUCAAGCGUAUUGGGUUGCAGUUGGCACUUGAAGCUGGGGACAUGCAGAGCUGGCUAAUGUCAGCAGCUGUAGGACUGUCAAGAAAAAUAGGUGGAAGGGACACUUUUAUUAUAAGUAGACUUGCAAGGCAUUCCAACUUUCAGCUGCUCAACCCAGUAUACCAAACACCUCUGACUACCUCAAGUGUGGCCUUGCUGAGUGCUUCCAUAUUUAGGGGUUAUUAGACAGGACUGAAGCAAGUGACCUCUAAUGAGGAAGCAAUCAGGGCAGGCUCUGACCCUCCUCAGAGGUACUGUAAUGAACUGGCCUUGGAAGGUCUUUGAUGCUGCCUUUGCAUACUGUAUAUGAGCUUUCUGCUCAGUCAUUUCCUCUGCGCUCUGGUAGCACAGCAUGAAGCCUGCUAUUAGAAAAAAGGUUUAUUGCUACCUUGCAAACAUUUAUUGGGUAAUAUCUAAAACAUGGUGUCAAGUUAUAGUAAUGCGCUGUUCUGGGAAACUUUUUGAGAAUUUUAGUGUUUCAGAAGAUGGUCCUUUGAGAAUUCUUCUGUUUCAGAAAUGAAAAGUGGUAGAUAUAUACGUGUGUGUGUAUAAUAUGCUCAUGUAUCCUCUGAUUACUUGCCAGAGAUGUACCAUUUUUCUUUCAAGGGAAACAUCUAUUCCUAAGAUAGAUUAUUCUUGAAAUUUUCAAAGAGUAUGCCUCAGAGAACAAAUAUACAAAUUUACCAUUUGUCUGCAGAUAUUAUUUGCCUGUGUUUAUGCUAGGUCACUGACACCACACACAUUUUAAUCCCCAAGGGAAUUUAUUUGGUGGUGUUAUCUACUCAACCAAGCUGAAGCUUAUCUAGUUCACAAGAAAAUAGUCAAUAUGAGCUCCAUGCAGACUUAUGCUGUUAAUGCAGAAGAGGGAAAGAGAAUUUACCUUUAACUGUUAUGAUGAAAAUGUGUACAAUGACACUUAACUAUGGCAUGCAAAUCCUCUUUUCCUCCCCCACAGGUAUCUGGAAAGUACCUUAUACAGCUAGGUGCUUAGAAAAUGUUUAUUGAUUAAAUAGAUGAUGAUUAACAGAUUAAUAAAAGGUGAAAGUUACUAUCUAUGCAUUUUUUUCCAGUUUGAUGUUCAAAAACUUACCAAUGGAUGGGGAGUUGCUUUUCAUAAACAAUUUAUAAAGCACUGUCCUGGAUGAAAUUGUAAAAAGGACGUGGUGUCAAAGAUGACUCAGUGGAGUUGAGGUGAAAAAUGUGUAAUGAGCAAAUCAUGGUAAUUGGGAUAUCCAUCACCUCAAACCCUUAUCAUGUCUUUGUGUUGAGGACAUUUCAAAUCUUCCCUUCCAGCUAUUUUGAAAUAUACAACAAAUUAUUGUUAAGUGUAGCCACCCUAGUGUGCUACUGUACACUAGGACUUACUUAUUCCUUCUAUCUAACUGUAUUUUUGAACCCAUGAACCAACAUCUCUUUGAUUUCCAGCCUGGGCUUUGGUGUCCCUUUUUUUGUGUGUUUUCAUAGGGCCCUAUAUUUAUAUUAUUUGGGCUCAACACAUUGCAAAACUGCAGAGGAGUUUACUAUUAUGCACAUUAUUAUUCUAUAUUCUGUCACUCUAAGAAACAAUAAGUGACCAUCUGAAGAGACCAUCUUCUAGCACCAAAAUAUUUAAAGAUGAUUAAGAAUAAGACAAGGGUCUCCUUAUUUACAAAAUGACAUAAUUGAAAGGACUAGAUUAUUAGCAACCCCUCUGGAAAAGGAUUACUCUUUUGGAUUUUAAUUACAUAACUAAUAUAUCAACUGAAGUGCUAUGCCCUGACGUGUGCUCCCCUCAGCUUCACGAUCCAUAUGUUGAAACCCAACCCCUUAAUGUGAUGGCAUUUGGAGAUGGGGCUUUGGAGAUAUUAGUUAGGUUUAGAUAAGGUCAUGAGAAUGGGGCUCUUAUGAUGAGAUGAGCACCUUCAUAAAAAGAGACACGAGGUAUUUCUCUUUUCUCUCUUCUCUCUCUCCCUCUUUCCCUCCCUCCCUCUCUCCUCCUUCUCUGUCUUCCUCCUUUAUGUGAGGACAUAGCCAGAAGGCAGCUGUGUCUGCAAGCCAGGAAGAAAGCCCUCACCAGGAAUCAACUAUAUCAGCACCUUGAUCUUGAACUUCUAUCCUUAGAACAGAGAGAAAAUGAAUUUCUAUUCUUGAAGCCACCCAGCCUACGGUAUUUUGUUAUGGCAGUCAAGCUGAAUAAGAUAUAUAUCUACACUGAGACCAUUAAAAGUAGUUCCUGAUUGGCAGAAAGGUUGUAUAUAUAAAUGGCUCAUUGAAAGUUCUCACUGCAUGGAUGAGAAAUCUCAGAUUGAGGUUCUUAAAUUUUGAAAAAUAGAAAUAAAGGAAUUAACGCAACAGUCUUCUAAUCUUUCUGCCUUCAGUUUUUGCUCCCUUUGACUAUUCUCUGUACACUGCAUCCAGAGGUUAUAUUUUGACAGGGAAAUUCAAAUGAUGUAUAUUAUUUUUCUACUCAAAAUCUCCCCACUGGCACCCUAUUGUCCUAAAGCAUAAACUGCUAUUGCAGUCAAUUCACCUGAAAUAAGCUCUCUUCCUGCCGCGUCUUUUACAUAGAUUGUUUACUCCUCUUGUGAUCCCAGUUCCCUGCUUCUCCCUCUCCUCCACACUUUUCAAUAAUUAAAUUAUACUCAGCGUUCAGAAUUCAGUCAGGAUAUCCUACCUUCUUUGGUCAGCCCCCCAGGGUUUUCUGAAAGCUGGGAAGAGGCCCUCUUCUGCAAUCCCCAUGCACUGUAGACACAUCCCCUUUAGGUCCCUAUGUUGUGAGUGACUGUUUUCUUGUCUGUCUCUGCCACUAUAUUAUGCACUCUUAGAAGGCAAGGACUACUUCUCUUCAUUGUAUACCUAGAACUUAACCCAAAAACUGGCAUGUGCAUGCACCCAAGUUUUCACUGAGAAAAUAAUUGCAUGAGUCACUUGCUUUCCAGGUCUUUCUGACUACUAUGAUGGUGAUGACUUGUAGUCACAACAUGAAAUUGGUUUCUGCCCCUGAGGAUUGUAUCUCUCUACUUUGCAUGACCCCUAGAUUUCAAUCCCUCUUUAUUCUCUCCUGAUCCUUGGGUUCCAGUAAUUCUCUGGGUUUCAAAUAUAAGCACAGUGUGAGGAGCUCUUCAUUCUUGACAGAACUUUCAGGCAAGAAAGAAAUAGAUUCCUGGGAAUAUCUAUAUUCCCUCUGGCCCUAUUCCUUACUCCCAAAACAUAAUAACCCUUUUCUUAGGUUUUUUCUCUCUACCUUUUUACUUCUUCCUUAUUCUCACGAUUACAUGAAUUAACUGCCUACAGAGUAUGAAUUCAGACUGAAUUAAUAUGUAUUUAUGUGACAUAAAAGAUCUCUUUCAGUACUUCUUAAUCUUACCAAAUGAUGCAUACUAUACAAUAAAAAAUUGCAAUUUUUUCAUUAGCUUUUUUUUUUUUUUUUGGUUUCUGGUAGGGUUUUCCUUUAGUGGUAUUUUAGCAAGUAAUACAAUCCAGUUAUUUUUAAAAGUAUAUUAGUAGAAACUCACCAGAAGUCAAUAUACUGGUCCAAGAAUAAUUAACUGAUUGACUUUAUUGUUUAUGAAACUUUGUAAUGUUCCUUUUGAUGUGAAUGCUUAUCUUAGGGGGAAAUGCACUUUUCAAAUAUAAAUGAUCAUGUUUAAACAAACUGCUUCUAGUUUCAAAUAUGGCACUGAAAAACAAAAUAAAAUAAACACUCAAUUUUUAUUUAAAAUGGUGGGCAAUUUACUUUCUUUUUUGUUUGGGAUCUGAUUCAAGAGCCUCAAUUCAGCUUAUUGCAGAACUAACUAAACUAAACCUCAAAGGAAAAAUUUUAAAAAUGAUUUUUAUAGCAAUGACAUCAUUAUAUAAAAUGUUGGCAUUUCAUAUUUUCCAAACAGAAACUUGGAAAUAACAGAAUACAAGUUAAAUAAAACAAAUUGAAACUAAUCCAAUUCUCUGUUUUUCUUUCCCUUUUUAAAAACCAAGCUUUUUAUUGCCAGCUUUUACUUUGCAUAAUAAUAUAUGAUGAAUUGUCCAAGAAAGACCCAGUGGGUACAUUUCUCUUAGAAAUAAGCCUCUCUAUGCAAUAGGAGGCCAAGUUCUAGGGCAACAUACUUAUAUAAUCAUGUAAGAUUUUCCUUAUUGCUAACAAUUGACCAACCUGGGCAUUUGUCAAAUAUGUAAACACAUGGAGGUCACUGGUCACCAGAGGAUUGAAAACACAAAUCACUCUAUUCAUAUCCAUCCCUAGUUCUAGAAAAACAAUACCAAAUUAAAGCAUAUAUCCUACUAGCAAUAGGACUAGCAAAAUUAUUUUGGUAUACCAGAGCUACAUGUUAUACAUUUUGCUACUUAUGGAUUUAAUUACUCAGGAUAAUUAUACACAUGGCUACAACUGUAAACUUUAUAAUAUUUUGCUGGCAUACCUUCCAAAAGAGUUUGAAAAGCUAUGAAUUUAAUUCUAUAUUUGCAUUUGACAUAUAAAGUAC
rnacentral:lncRNA from 1 species